rnacentral:tRNA from 1 species
GGAGAGGUGGCUGAGUGGUUUAAAGCGAUAGAUUGCUAAUCUGUUGUGCAAAAUUUGUACCGAGGGUUCGAAUCCCUUCCUCUCCU